rnacentral:rRNA from 1 species
CCUACGGGAGGCAGCAGUGGGGAAUUUUGGACAAUGGGCGAAAGCCUGAUCCAGCAAUGCCGCGUGUGGGAAGAAGGCCUUCGGGUUGUAAACCACUUUUGUACGGAACGAAACGGUUCGCCUUAAUACGGCGAGCUAAUGACGGUACCGUAAGAAUAAGCACCGGCUAACUACGUGCCAGCAGCCGCGGUAAUACGUAGGGUGCGAGCGUUAAUCGGAAUUACUGGGCGUAAAGCGUGCGCAGGCGGUGAUGUAAGACAGUUGUGAAAUCCCCGGGCUCAACCUGGGAAUUGCAUCUGUGACUGCAUCGCUAGAGUACGGUAGAGGGGGAUGGAAUUCCGCGUGUAGCAGUGAAAUGCGUAGAUAUGCGGAGGAACACCGAUGGCGAAGGCAAUCCCCUGGACCUGUACUGACGCUCAUGCACGAAAGCGUUGGGGAGCAAACAGGAUUUAGAUACCCUGGUAGUCCACGCCCUUAAACGAUGUCAACUGGUUNUUGGGUNNAUAUACUACAGUAACGAAGAUACGCGNGAGUAGACGCGNGGAGACGCGCGAGUAGAGANAANAGAGUAGAGCGNGAGAGAGCGAGGACGACGACGAGGGAGGAGG